GUGAUCUGAGUUCAGACCGGAGCAAUCCAGGUCAGUUUCUAUCUAUAAAGGGCUUAUUCCAGUACGAAAGGACCGAAAAAGCGUGGCCAAUGUACUAAUAAGCCACAUAACCAAUCUAUGCCCAAGACUUAAUAAACAAUUAACCUUCCAUUCUUCCCAAAACAAGGGAC
rnacentral:rRNA from 1 species